UUGAUCGAUCUGACGAUCUGUCAAAUUGUGUCUCGGAGUCCAAACCAAACUCUCUAAAUCUUGUAACCUGCGAGAAUCCGCCUCUCUCUCGGCGGGCGUCAGUACUGCUGGAAGUUAAAGUAAUGAAGUAAAUGAAAGGCAGGGGACACGGCAGAAUCAAUGAAAACUCGACCACGAUACUGAACCAAAAAGAGAAACAUCAGCAAGAGCGGGGCAACAUAAAGGCAAACGAAGUAAUAAUUACAAGGCAAAAACAAUAAUCUGCAACGGAAAGAUAUUUAACUGUCGAGGUAAAAAAAAUUAUGUCGUUUAGAGAAACCUCAGAUUACUAAAGUGUCAUCAUAUGAUGCGGCGGGAUUUUUAUUUUACGAAUGUGAACGAUAGAUGAAUGACGAUGAAGGUGUAUGACGGCGACGAGUAGAUUCGAGAAUUGCACGACGAUAAACCGGAAAGGGAAUCUCGAGAAAAUAUUUAAAGUUGAACAGGAUCAAGAUCCCGGCGAUUAAGAUGUUCGAAAGAAUCCGCCGUUCUAAAUAUACGAUGUUAAAAUCUUAAAUACGAAAAGUCAAUAAUACUGAGCGAGAUAUUUAUAUGAAUGAUUAUGAAUGCAUGUGAAUGAAUGAUUUGUACGGGCACUUUGGUGGCAAAAGUCAUCGAACCCCUCGUCAAUCAGCUUAAAAGAAAAUGGAUUCGAUUGCACCCGAUUUACUGUCUCUUCGGCCUUACAGUGAAAAUUGCCUUAAUUCGCGACAUACACCAAGAUUACAAAGAAUUUUAGUAAUCCCGCCGCUAAUCAAUAGCCUUGAAUCGUCAUUGGCUUCUCUAUAGGACUAAUGAGAUAAUCAAAAGAUGCAGAUUGUUUGCCGUUUACCGACGAAUCCACUAAACGCUUUCGAGCAAAAACAGUAUAUAAUAUCAAUUUUAAUUUUACUAAUAACAUGUAAAAACGAUGACUUUUAUAAUUCAAUAUAUAACUAUCUUGCGUGUGUCCAUGCCUAUCAUAAGUAAAUCAUUUGUUUUAACAACGAUCUUAUAGAAUUAUAAAUAAAAAUAUAUUAAAGUAUUAAAAA
rnacentral:lncRNA from 13 species